rnacentral:rRNA from 1 species
AUUGAACGCUGGCGGCAGGCCUAACACCUGCAAGUCGAACGAGUGGCGGACGGGUGCGUAAUGUCUGGGAAACUGCCCGAUGGAUGGGGAUAACUACUGGAAACGGUAUCUAAUACCGCGUACCAUCGGCUGUGCGCAGAUGGGAUUAGAUUGUAGGUGAGGUAACGGCGCACCUAGGCGACGAUCCCUAGCUGGUCUGAGAGGAUGACCAGCCACACUGGAACUGAGACACGGUCCAGACUCCUACGGGAGGCAGCAGUGGGGAAUAUUGCACAAUGGGCGCAAGCCUGAUGCAGCCAUGCCGCGUGUAUGAAGAAGGCCUUCGGGUUGUAAAGUACUUUCAGCGGGGAGGCGUUACCCGCAGAAGAAGCACCGGCUAACUCCGUGCCAGCAGCCGCGGUAAUUC